AUUUGUAGCCAUCAGUCGUAUAAGUCUUAAAGACAAUCGUUGGAGUUUAGAGAGAGCCACUCUCUAUAAAUGUCUCCGUGAAAUUCUCGCACAAAGGAUGAAAGGCCUCUGUUUAUCUCUGUUUCUAACCCCUGUUAUCAACAUAAGCAAAAUUCCCUUUUCUCACUGCUUGAUUGAGUCUAGGAUUAUAAGCCAGUGAGUGAGUGCCUAGGUAUCCAAAGGCAAAAGAAAUA
rnacentral:lncRNA from 1 species